rfam:Dipodomys ordii contig_16616, whole genome shotgun sequence.
GGGAAAGUAGCUCAGUGGUACAGCGCUUGCCUUGCAUGCAUGAGGCCCUGGGUUCGAUUCCUCAGCACCCCA